CGGGAGGAGGACGUAGCCUCCCUGCUGCUGCCCGGAGCCCUUCCCCGGCGGCCCCGGAUCAUCCGACGCGUCCUGGGAGAGAGAGAGAAAGUGGCAGAGGAGGAGGAGGAGGAGGAUGAUGAGGAGGAGAGGUGAGAGAAAAGCACCGGGCGCGUUUCUCGGAGGCGGCAAAGGUUUCGUGACGCAGUCCCUGUUCAGUCGAGGGCAUCAUCCGCGCGACACGGGUGAGGCGGUGGGUGCCGUGGCCAGCCAAAUCAUCCAACAACGUACCCUAGGAAAGCCUGAUACAGUAAACUUUAGCAUUGAGCAAGACUGACCGCUGAGGAAGAAAAUCAUGAAGGAUGAGGGAGUUUCAGCUGGCACUAUGCUGCCUGUGGUAUGAUGGAGGAAAGGACAUUGAAGGUAAUUUGAGAGAUGCAGAGCUAAUUAGAAUAGAGCAGAUAUUUAAAAAUAUGAUUUGGAACAAGAUUUGGGACUAAACCACCACCUUAUAAAAUGAUUACCAGAUAUGACAGUAACAACAACAACAAAAAAUUAAAAUCUGUUCUAAAAUAACUUUUGCUUUGGUGUUCACAAACCAUUCCCUUCAUGGUCAAAAAAAACCUUAAAAUGUUUGGAUUAAAACAAAGUGAUUAAUCUAAAAAGCAGAGACAGUGAAUUAAAGGAGCAGGGAGAUAACAAUCUGAUAAUACAGGAGCACAGAAGGCCUAAUAAUGAUAUUAUUAUGCACACUAACCAAACACUGACAAACAAAUAUUCUGUUAAUUAUAUAAUCAUGCAUAUGCUUCCUAUGCUUGAGAUAAAUGAUUAUGGAAAAUAACUCUCCUCUUGAAACUGCAUAUAUGUACUAAACCUUAUAAACUCCCUACAACAUGGAUUAAUCUAAUUCCCGUACAUCACUUAUGCCUGGUAAAGUAUUUACUACAGACUUGGAAGGCUGUGCGUGGAACCCUUGCUUUGACUAGAAAGCACAAAUUACUGAAGGCUGCUACGUCUUGACAUAUAGACAACAAUCAGAUUUCUCUUAUCAAUACCAAACUACUUGGAAUAAAUUCAAGAUACAGAUAUCUGAUUUUCAUUUGACCUAUUCCAAUUUGCACUUCACCGUGUCAACUUUGAUAUUAAAAUGUUCCACUGGAAUAAAGAAAUUUGUAAUAAAAACAUAUAAAGAACA